GACGAACGCUGGCGGCGUGCUUAACACAUGCAAGUCGAACGGAAAGGCCCUGCUUUUGUGGGGUGCUCGAGUGGCGAACGGGUGAGUAACACGUGAGUAACCUGCCCUUUACGUUGGGAUAACUUCAGGCAACUGGUGCUAAUACCGGCUAGGAGCUCCUGCUGCAUGGUGGGGGUUGGAAAGUUUCGGCGGUUGGGGAUGGACUCGGGGCUUAUCAGCUUGUUGGUGGGGUAGUGGCUUACCAAGGCUUUGACGGGUAGCCGGCCUGAGAGGGUGACCGGCCACAUUGGGACUGAGAUACGGCCCAGACUCCUACGGGAGGCAGCAGUGGGGAAUAUUGCACAAUGGGCGGAAGCCUGAUGCAGCAACGCCGCGUGCGGGAUGACGGCCAUCGGGUUGUAAACCGCUUUCGCCUGUGACGAAGCGUGAGUGACGGUAAUGGGUAAAGAAGCACCGGCUAACUACGUG
rnacentral:rRNA from 1 species